GGCAUUGUGGCAGAGUGGUCUAAUGCGCAAGACUAGAACUUGCUUCUCUGGAAGUGAUUCUGCAAUCUUGUUCCUUCGGGAGCGUCUGUUCGAAUCAGGCCAAUGUCG
rnacentral:tRNA from 1 species